rnacentral:lncRNA from 1 species
CCCUCAGCGCCCGUCUCUGCACCCCACGAGGCACGCUCACCAUUGCAAGGUCUCCUGGGUUCCCCGGCGGCCCUCCCUAGAAUACGGCGCACGGUCGGGCUCACGGCGCGACAGAAACAGCGGCAGAGCAACGUGGCACCUUUAAAUACGGGCGACCCGCGAUCCCCAGGGAGGCUGAAAGGAGCCGCGACGUCCGGGGUGGUGGCGGAGCGUCGCCCCACCCACCCCCGCCACCGCCGCCCCUGAUUGGUCAGCUCGCAAGGCCUCGCCCCCUCACGCCUGAGUGACAGCGGGGCCGGAGGUUAGGUGUCUGAGCCGCACCGCGGCCACAAGGCUCCCGGUCCCGGAACGUGUGCGCCGGAACCUGGAGCUGCCCUCACACCGAGAAGUCUGACCUUCCCUUUGCAGACACAGACACUUAGACGUCAGCUCUCCAGACGCAGUAAUUAGUCUAGCUCUUUGUUGACCACCAGGGUCUGACAUGGCAGUUUUGCCAAAAAGGUGCACGAGCAGGUAACCAGGGAUGCACUAGGUGGGCGCUCUUCCAAAGCGUCAGUCAGAUUCAGGAAAACAUCGUUGGGACCAAACACAAACCAUCGCUUCAGAUGAAAAGUGACUUCUGGGUUUAAAGUGGGUUAACUUUUAGAAAAUGCUUCUGACGUGAAAAAUCUUGAUCCAUCCCUUUCUUGUGAUUACACGAUUUAAUCCAUCUUAUCAGAAAACUGGGUUUCGAUAAAAUAACAAUCCUGCUGAUUGGUGAGUCUAGGAUCCUAGAGAGUAGGCUUCAUUCUGACAAUGAUGGAAUCACUCCGUGCAGGCAUCCUCUGUAUACAGCAGACACACCGACCAUUUCUGACCGUUUCCUCUCAAUUCCCUGAGGUCACCUUUAAGAUUAUCUGAGUCAAACUGCCCCCACCUAAAUCCUCCCACACUGCAGCAGUAUCUCCACCAUGCCCAGGGACUGAGAAGCUUCCCUGGAACCAUCUAUCAGGUGGCAACUGGAGGGGAGAGCUAAAGGACCAUAACUGAUCUCAGGGUGGCUCAGUGGUUGAGCAUCUGCCUUUGGCUCAGGUAGUGAUUCUGGGGUUCUGGGAUCCAGUCCCAGAUCAGGCUCCUUGCAGAAAGCCUGCUUCUCCCUCUGCCUUUGUCUCUGCUUCUCUGUGUCUCUCAUGAAUAAAUAGAUAAAAUCCUUUAAAAAAAAAAAAACUGAGAGCUGGAGGGUAUCUGGGUAGCUCAGUCAGUUAAGUGUCUGCCUUCCGCUCAGGUUAUGAUCCCAUAGGGUUCAAGCCCUAUGUUAGGCUCCAUGGGAGCCUGCUUCUCCCAUUCCCCCUGCUUGUGUGUGCUCUCUCUCCCUCUUUCAAAUAAAUGAAUAAAUAAAAUCUUUUUUAAAAAUGAAUUGGGAGGGAGAUCCCUGGGGUCAUUCUAUUUUUAAUUUUUUGGGAAACCUCCAUACUGUCUUCCACAUGGCUGUACCAGUUUACAUUCCCACCAACAGUGCGACAGGACUCCUUUUUCUCCACAUCCUUACCAAUAUUCUUUUUCCUGUGUUUCUAGUUUCAUCAUUCUGACAGGUGUGAGGUGAUAUUUCAUUGUGGUUUUGAUUUGCAUUUCCUUGGUGAUGGGUGAUGUUGAGCAUCUUUUCAUGUAUCUGUUGGCCAUCUGGAUGUCUUCUUUGGAGAAAUGUCUGUUCAUGUAUCCUGCCCAUUUUUAGUUGGAUUAUUUGGUGUUUGCUGUUGAGAUUUAUAAAUUUUUUUAAUAUUUUAUUUAUUUGAGAGAGAGAGCACUAGGGGCAAGGGGUAGAAGGGGACAGAGAGGGACAAGCAGACUGCAAGCUGAGCCCAGAGCCCAGUCUCACAACUCUGAGAUCAUGACCUGAGACAAAAUCAGCAGUCAGCGCUCAACUAAAAGAGCCACUCAGGUACCCUGAGUUCUAUAAAUUGUUAUACAUUUUAGAUACUAACCAUUUAUCAGAUACAUCAUUUGCAAGUAUCUUCUCCCGUUCCAUGGGUUGUCUUUUGUUGCGGUGCAGAAGCUUUUUAUUUUGCUGUAGUCUCAAUAGUUUAUUUUUGCUUUUAUUUCCCUUGCCUCAGGAGACCUGUCUAGAAAAAAAUGUUAUUACGGCUGACGUCAGAGAAAUUAUUGCCUGUGCUUUCUUCCAGGAUUUUUAUGGUUUCAGAGAAUACUUCCAUUUCAGGAUCUGUUUUUCAUCUCUCCUUUCAGAACUAUCUGGAAAACAAUAAUGUAGGAGCAGUUUUCUUGAAAGUCACAAUUUCUUAAUAUCAGGAACACCUCUAGUUGUCCAUUUGUUUUAUUUCUUCUCAUCUCCACCUCAGAUAAAAGAUUCACCAUACUAAGAAUGUGCAUUUGCUGGAGAAGAUGCAAAAGUUUGGCUCCCCUCUCUCACAUCCUUGAGCUUCAGGAAC